AGAGUUUGAUCAUGGCUCAGGAUGAACGCUAGCGGCAGGCUUAACACAUGCAAGUCGAGGGGUAUAGUUCUUCGGAACUAGAGACCGGCGCACGGGUGCGUAACGCGUAUGCAAUCUACCUUUUACAGAGGGAUAGCCCAGAGAAAUUUGGAUUAAUACCUCAUAGUAUGCAGAGUUGGCAUCAACACUGUAUUAAAGUCACAACGGUAAAAGAUGAGCAUGCGUCCCAUUAGCUAGUUGGUAAGGUAACGGCUUACCAAGGCGACGAUGGGUAGGGGUCCUGAGAGGGAGAUCCCCCACACUGGUACUGAGACACGGACCAGACUCCUACGGGAGGCAGCAGUGAGGAAUAUUGGUCAAUGGACGCAAGUCUGAACCAGCCAUGCCGCGCGCAGGAUGACGGCCCUAUGGAUUGUAAACUGCUUUUGUACGAGAAGAAACCCUCCAACGUGUUGGAGCUUGACGGUAUCGUAAGAAUAAGGAUCGGCUAACUCCGUGCCAGCAGCCGCGGUAAUACGGAGGAUCCAAGCGUUAUCCGGAAUCAUUGGGUUUAAAGGGUCCGUAGGCGGUUUAGUAAGUCAGUGGUGAAAGCCCAUCGCUCAACGGUGGAACGGCCAUUGAUACUGCUAGACUUGAAUUAUUAGGAAGUAACUAGAAUAUGUAGUGUAGCGGUGAAAUGCUUAGAGAUUACAUGGAAUACCAAUUGCGAAGGCAGGUUACUACUAAUGGAUUGACGCUGAUGGACGAAAGCGUGGGUAGCGAACAGGAUUAGAUACCCUGGUAGUCCACGCCGUAAACGAUGGAUACUAGCUGUUGGGAGCAAUCUCAGUGGCUAAGCGAAAGUGAUAAGUAUCCCACCUGGGGAGUACGUUCGCAAGAAUGAAACUC
rnacentral:rRNA from 1 species